rnacentral:rRNA from 1 species
GACGAACGCUGGCGGCGUGCUUAACACAUGCAAGUCGAACGAAGUGGCGAACGGGUGAGUAACGCGUAAUCAACCUGCUCUUCUGUGGGGGACAACAGUGGGAAACGACUGCUAAUACCGCAUACUGACGGUGGGGAUUGCGUCUGAUUAGGGAGUUGGAGGGGUAACGGCCCCCAAAGGGGAUGAUCAGUAGCCGGGCUGAGAGAAGGAGAGGGCGCGUUGGGACGGAGAGACGGUCAAGACUCCUACGGAAGGCAGCAGGGGGGAGUCGUCCGGCAUGGACGAAAGUCUGACGGAGCAACGCCGCGUGAGGGAGGACGGGCUUCGGGUUGUAAAGCUCUGUUAAUCUGGACGCGGUACCGGAAUAGAAAGCCACGGCUAACUACGUGCCAGCAGCCGCGGUAAUAC